AAGAGUUUGGCUGUUGAAAUCAAAAUCAAAAAAAAAAAAAAUCUAGUUGAGAUUAAACAAAACGUCAGGCCAAGCGAAGCAGCCGCUGGAGGCCAUGCCGGCAGAGCAAUUCACGUUAACUUUACAACCCCAUAAAUCCAUCGAAACCUACUCUCGCUUAUCUAACCCCCAAUUCAAUUCAGACCUGCACAAUUUAAUCCCGUACCGGCUAAACAUAUUUAUAGCCCAUUAAUUAACAUCUUACCUUCCGAAGAUGGAGUAAAACAUCCUUCCAGCUUUACCCCUCCAAGUAUCAAUCUUCUUCAUCUCCCAUCCCUCGUCUCCUUUCUCCCCCUAUAUAUAAUACAAGAAAU
rnacentral:lncRNA from 1 species